rnacentral:rRNA from 1 species
CCGCGUGAGCGAAGAAGGCCUUCGGGUCGUAAAGCUCUGUUGUUAGGGAAGAACGAGUACGAGAGUAACUGCUCGUACCUUGACGGUACCUAACCAGAAAGCCACGGCUAACUACGUGCCAGCAGCCGCGGUAAUACGUAGGCGGCAAGCGUUGUCCGGAAUUAUUGGGCGUAAAGCGCGCGCAGGCGGUCCUUUAAGUCUGAUGUGAAAGCCCACGGCUCAACCGUGGAGGGUCAUUGGAAACUGGGGGACUUGAGUGCAGAAGAGGAGAGUGGAAUUCCACGUGUAGCGGUGAAAUGCGUAGAGAUGUGGAGGAACACCAGUGGCGAAGGCGACUCUCUGGUCUGUAACUGACGCUGAGGCGCGAAAGCGUGGGGAGCAAACAGGAUUAGAUACCCUGGUAGUCCACGCCGUAAACGAUGAGUGCUAAGUGUUAGAGGGUUUCCGCCCUUUAGUGCUGCAGCUAACGCAUUAAGCACUCCGCCUGGGGAGUACGGCCGCAAGGCUG